GACGAACGCUGGCGGCGUGCUUAACACAUGCAAGUCGAACGGAAAGGCCCUGCUUUUGUGGGGUGCUCGAGUGGCGAACGGGUGAGUAACACGUGAGUAACCUGCCCUUGACUUUGGGAUAACUUCAGGAAACUGGGGCUAAUACCGGAUAGGAGCUCCUGCUGCAUGGUGGGGGUUGGAAAGUUUCGGCGGUUGGGGAUGGACUCGCGGCUUAUCAGCUUGUUGGUGGGGUAGUGGCUUACCAAGGCUUUGACGGGUAGCCGGCCUGAGAGGGUGACCGGCCACAUGGGGACUGAGGUACGGCCCAGAAUCCUACGGGAGGCAGAAGGGGAGAAUAUUGCACAAUGGGGGGAAGCCUGAUGCAGAGACGCCGCGUGCGGGAUGACGGCCUUCGGGUUGUAAACCGCUUUCGCCUGUGGCGAAGCGUGAGUGACGGUAAUGGGUAAGGAAGCCCCGGCUAACUACGUG
rnacentral:rRNA from 1 species